UGGCACGAGAAGACUCAGAAGAGACUG
rnacentral:piRNA from 1 species